UCGUCGUUGAAAUGGUACAACUGCAACUUAUCGGUCCUCAGAUAGAGAGUAAGAUGUCUCAAAGAUUGUGGAACCGAUUCAUUUGGAAAGCCUACAUUGAAUGUCUCUGUAAACCUUUUUAUAGUAACAAGCUUAACUCCUCAAACUAUUCUAGUUAAUUUGACUAUGAAGAGGCCUUCAUAAUCACGACUAAAAGACAUGGCCUGUUUUAGAACUUCCCCAACAUAUUCGUUGAGAAUUCGAAGAAAGACGCAACCUUU
rnacentral:lncRNA from 1 species